UACGUAGGGGGCAAGCGUUGUCCGGAAUCAUUGGGCGUAAAGAGCGCGUAGGCGGUCCGGUAAGUCCGCUGUGAAAGUCGGGGGCUCAACCCUCGAAUGCCGGUGGAUACUGUCGGGCUAGAGUCCGGAAGAGGCGAGUGGAAUUCCUGGUGUAGUCGGUGAAAUGCGUAGAUAUCUGGAGGAAUACCGGUGGCGAAGGCGGCCUUCUGGACGAGUGACUGCACGCUGAGACGCGAAAG
rnacentral:rRNA from 1 species